CCAUGCCAGCUCCUCAAAAUUGUAAGGCAUUUGGGAUUAAUAUCAUUUCUUUUGUUGAUGUUGCUGCUAGACUCCAUAAUCAUUGCUGACAGUCAGCUUAGAAGAUCAGAGAAGUGGAAUGGAAACCUUCUUGGCUCCACUUGUAGGAGGAAAGGGCAUUGCAGACCACAUAACUGAGGAGGAAGCUUGUGUGAUCAGGAACAAAUGUUCUAUGACAUUCUGAGUGGAAGAAACCUCUAGAAGACAUCAGGCAAAUCCAGGGUUUGGUCAUAUUCACAAAAUAUCUUAAAAACUUCCUUUGUGUGAAAGCAUUUACUGCAAAUAUGUUAGUUGUAUUUUUAUUAGAAAAGGCAGGAUUUAGAGGGAAAUGUAAAAUGUUUUAUUAAACUAGCUGUUACUGAUGGAGAAGUUAGAAAAGCUUUUGGGUGUAUCAGCUUUCCUCCAGGCUUACAUCACUGAAUGCUUUUCUUUAUUUUUCCCUCUGCAUUAGUUACUCAUCAUAAAAUAUAUUCUCACCGUUCAAACAUAUCUUUUGUUUGAAAUCUCUUGCUGUAUUUUCACCCCUGCCAACCUAACCUGUCUCAACUUACUCUACAUUCCCACUAGACUCAUUGCUACUGCUACUCAUUGUAGGUGCUGCCAUUUUUUCACUAGCUAGUUUAAUAAUUUUUCUAACUGUUUAAAAUGUUCUUAUUUUAUACAGUUUUCUUUUAAUAGUUAUUGUUUUCAAAAGUCCUCACAUAAAUUGGAGAGUUUUAGUCAGUAAAACAAAAAGUUAAACAUAUUUAUGUCUAAGUUUUGAAAGGAAAAGUUUUUUUAAAAAAAAUUUAUUUAGGACUAUUAUGCUUAAGAUUUUUCAUGUUCCAGAUAUCUAGAGAUGGAUCUGAAUCAAAACAUCAUAUCAAAAUACUCAGAAAGUCGGGCAAUUCACCAACCCUGAUUUGUAUUAAAACAAAUGUGCAA
rnacentral:lncRNA from 1 species